CAAUAGCGUAUAUUAAAGUUGUUGCGGUUAAAAAGCUCGUAGUUGGAUUUCUGUUGAGGACGGCCGGUCCGCACUAUGUGCGUGUAUCUGGUUCGGCCUUGGCAUCCUCUUGAGGAACGUAUCUACGCUUGAUUGCGUGGAGCGGUAUUCAAGACUUUUACUUUGAGGAAAUUAGAGUGUUCACGGCAGGCAAGCGCCUUGAAUACAUUAGCAUGGAAUAAUAAUAUAGGAUCUUGGUUCUAUUUUGUUGGUUUCUAGAGCUAAGGUAAUGAUUAAUAGGGAUAAUUGGGGGCAUUUGUAUUAACGCGUCAGAGGUGGAAUUCUUGGAUUGCGUUACGACAAACUACUGCGAAAGCAUUUGCCAAGGAUGUUUNCAUUG
rnacentral:rRNA from 1 species